rfam:Aedes albopictus isolate Foshan contig19789, whole genome shotgun sequence.
UGUUCUGUGGCGGAGUUGGUUAACGCGCCCUGUCUAGCGAACUUGGGGAGACGUGGGUUCAAAUCCCACCAGAACUA